rnacentral:rRNA from 1 species
GUCCAGACUCCUACGGGAGGCAGCAGUGGGGAAUAUUGCACAAUGGGGGAAACCCUGAUGCAGCAACGCCGCGUGAGUGAAGAAGUAUUUCGGUAUGUAAAGCUCUAUCAGCAGGGAAGAAAAUGACGGUACCUGAGUAAGAAGCCCCGGCUAACUACGUGCCAGCAGCCGCGGUAAUACGUAGGGGGCAAGCGUUAUCCGGAUUUACUGGGUGUAAAGGGAGCGUAGACGGCGAUACAAGUCUGAAGUGAAAGCCCGGGGCUCAACCCCGGGACUGCUUUGGAAACUGUGUUGCUGGAGUGCUGGAGAGGCAAGCGGAAUUCCUAGUGUAGCGGUGAAAUGCGUAGAUAUUAGGAAGAACACCAGUGGCGAAGGCGGCCAACUGGGCUUUAACUGACGCUGAGGCUCGAAAGUGUGGGGAGCAAACAGGAUUAGAUACCCUCGUAA